rnacentral:lncRNA from 1 species
GAAUCAGUGCUUAUUAUCUUUUGAAAGCUGGGAAAAAUUCUGAGGCCUGUCCACCUCGAUGGGGUUCAGAAAACAGUAUGUGGGCCUGUUAGCUCCUCCACUCCCUUAGAGGUGGAGGAGAGGGGUUAAGUAGCUUGAUGAAGUUUGAUAGCCACCCAACCUAAUGCAUUGUGGCCUGCAGUAUAAUCUGCAUCUUCAAAUAACUUGAAAACAUCUGUAAGCUUCAAGUAAUACUGGUGAAGUAUAACUUUCCCAUUUUAAUAAG